rnacentral:rRNA from 1 species
CGUGAAACCGAUAAGGUGGAAACGGAUAGAGCUGACGUAUCUAGCCUGUAUUCAGUUGUUUGUAUGUGUGUAAGCCUGGUAGCUGGUCCUGCUUUUGGCCGGUUAGUUGGUUUUUGCGCACAUAUAUGGGCAAUGCAUUUGCAGGUGGAGUGCGCUGAGGCGUACACUUCAGCGGUUGAAUCCCUGCUUUGAGGUCUCAUCUUUUGUGUGAGGUGCCCGGGUAGGAGUGUAAGACUGUUUGUUGUGUGUGACGCGUAGGAUAUGGUUUUCGAGUCGGCUGUUGGCUGAUAGGAUGGUAGGCGGUAAUCGCAUGCGAAUGCCACUAUUUGUUCGAUUAGUCAAUGGUGCAGGCUCACUUAUCCGACCUCGGUGUAAAAGUUGGUCAUCUAUCCGACCCGUCUUGAAACACGGACCAAGGAGUUUAGCGUGUACGCGAGUCAUUGAGUGUUAAAAACUUAAAGGCGUAAUGAAAGUAAAAGUGUCCCUUUUGUGGAACUGAUAUGCGAUCUUGGGUGCUUCGGUGCCUUAGGAGCAGCAUAGCCCCAUUCGAAUUGCUUGCAAUAGGGUGGAGGUAGAGCGUAUUCGCUGAGACCCGAAAGAUGGUGAACUAUGCCUGAGCAGGAUGAAGCCAGAGGAAACUCUGGUGGAAGUCCGAAGCGGUUCUGACGUGCAAAUCGAUCGUCUGACUUGG